ACCCAAAUUGCUUUCUUUGUAUUAUCAAAGUAAAGUGUGUGUGAUGGUGACAUUUAUGGUCUUAGUGUAUGGAAUUUUGUGCACUUUAGUGAUGGUGAGGUGAAGUAACAAGGUGCAUUAUAUGCAAAAAUUUUGUUAUUUCCUAAAAUGACCAAUAAACAAUUUAUUUGGAGAAAGAA